rnacentral:lncRNA from 1 species
GGUGGUCGGAAAACUGGAGAUUUUUCAAUCUCCUUGUUCUCCAUCAUUUCUCAACCAUUUUCUUCGAAUUUUAUAUCAAAAUGAAGCCCUAAGCAUGUAGUUUCACGUUACACUACUUUAAGGCUCUAAAAACUACAAAAUCUCACUGGAGAAAUUCCAUGAAAACCGGCCAAUUUCGAACCCAAUGGUCCCGACGUCCAAAACCUUCAAACGAAGCACUCCGACCUUCCUUGGGACCUCACUAAGCUCACUACAAGCUUAGAAUUCCCUGAAAAUUAACACAUCACGAUUGCAUGAACAGUGACAUAAAACUGGGGUUCGGGUUUCACGUGAUUUCGAAGGUUUCACGUUCUAAAACCAGUACCAAACAACUCAGGAGGUCGAAAGGAUGAAGAACCAUACCUUUUGGGCGUCGAUCCGUGAAAGUUCAAGGGUAUUUGGUCUCGUCCGUACAAUUUCGAAAGGGAGAGGGUGACUGAGACGGAGAAGAGAGAGAGAGCACGGGAAUGGGAAAGGGAAAGAUGUCCCGUGUGUGAGUGUUGUGUGGUCCACCCAAAAACAAACCACAACAUCAUUCCCUAACCACACAAAUUACAACCCAACAUUUUAAUCUAACUUAAUUUAUUUUCCAAAAGCUUAGGAAUGAAUGAAUUUAAUCCAAUAAUAUGUCACACACACACAUACCUUAAUACCCGUCAAGGGUA